UACGAAGGGGGCUAGCGUUGCUCGGAAUUACUGGGCGUAAAGCGCACGUAGGCGGUCUUUUAAGUCGGGGGUGAAAUCCUGGAGCUCAACUCCAGAACUGCCUUCGAUACUGGAAGACUUGAGUCCGGGAGAGGUGAGUGGAACUGCGAGUGUAGAGGUGAAAUUCGUAGAUAUUCGCAAGAACACCAGUGGCGAAGGCGGCUCACUGGCCCGGUACUGACGCUGAGGUGCGAAAGCGUGGGAGCAAACAGGA
rnacentral:rRNA from 1 species